rnacentral:lncRNA from 1 species
GCAAGAGGAUGCGAGGUUGGAGGAGGAGCUUUAAAUGGAUUUGGACUCCUCAGGAGAAUUUGCUAAUGGUCUGAACAAGUGUGUAGAGCACUGCAAAAGAUUUGGAUACUAUUGCCCGUUUUGAUCUAUUCUGCCGAUCUCUACCAAGAACUUGAUUAAAGAUCUGAGAUGCUGUCCCUGCCCUACCCAAGGUCAAGAAGUCAAAGUCUGCAGCUCUGCAAAUGUAUUGGAAUUCUGGAUAAAAUGAGCCUGAUGUAUUAUUGACUUUCUUGGUGGAGAAAACCAUUCUCUCCCUUCACAUUGGUGAAUUCUUGUACUCUGCAAUUAAAGCGUGUGCCAGUUCUCGGUAAGCACUCAGCAUUGUGGAAUGAAUUGUGU